UGGGGAAUUUUGGACAAUGGGCGAAAGCCUGAUCCAGCAAUGCCGCGUGUGUGAAGAAGGCCUUCGGGUUGUAAAGCACUUUUGUCCGGAAAGAAAUCCUUGGCUCUAAUACAGUCGGGGGAUGACGGUACCGGAAGAAUAAGCACCGGCUAACUACGUGCCAGCAGCCGCGGUAAUACGUAGGGUGCAAGCGUUAAUCGGAAUUACUGGGCGUAAAGCGUGCGCAGGCGGUUUGCUAAGACCGAUGUGAAAUCCCCGGACUCAACCUGGGAACUGCAUUGGUGACUGGCAGGCUAGAGUAUGGCAGAGGGGGGUAGAAUUCCACGUGUAGCAGUGAAAUGCGUAGAGAUGUGGAGGAAUACCGAUGGCGAAGGCAGCCCCCUGGGCCAAUACUGACGCUCAUGCACGAAAAGCGUGGGGGAGCAAACAGGAUUAGAUACCCUGGUAGUCCCACGCCCUAAACGAUGUCAACUAGUUGUUGGGGAUUCAUUUCCUUAGUAACGUAGCUAACGCGUGAAGUUGACCGCCUGGGGAGUACGGUCGCAAGAUUAAAACUUAAAUGAAUUGACGGGGUCAUAGCUGUUUCCU
rnacentral:rRNA from 1 species